GACGAACGCUGGCGGCGUGCUUAACACAUGCAAGUCGACCGAGUGGCGAACGGGUGAGUAACACGUGGGUGACCUGCCCUGCACUUCGGGAUAAGCCUGGGAAACUGGGUCUAAUACCGGAUAGUGUGGGAUGGGCCCGCGGCCUAUCAGCUGGUUGGUGGGGUAUUGGCUACCAAGGCGCGACGGGUAGCCGGCCUGAGAGGGUGGACGGCCACAUUGGGACUGAGACACGGCCCAGACGCCUACGGGAGGCAGCAGUGGGGAAUAUUGCACAAUGGGCGCAAGCCUGAUGCAGCCAUGCCGCGGGUGUGAAGAAGGCCUUCGGGUUGUAAAGCACUUUCAGCGAGGAGGCGUUACUCGCAGAAGAAGCACCGGCUAACUCCGUGCCAGCAGCCGCGGUAAUUC
rnacentral:rRNA from 1 species